UACAGAGGGGGCAAGCGUUGUUCGGAAUUACUGGGCGUAAAGGGCGCGUAGGUGGCCUUCUAAGCCGAACGUGAAAUCCCUGGGCUCAACCCAGGAACUGCGUCCGAGACUGGGAGGCUUGAAUCCGGGAGAGGGAUGCGGAAUUCCAGGUGUAGCGGUGAAAUGCGUAGAUAUCUGGAGGAACACCGGUGGCGAAGGCGGCAUCCUGGACCGGUAUUGACACUGAGGCGCGAAAGCCAGGGGGGCAAACGGGG
rnacentral:rRNA from 1 species